rnacentral:rRNA from 1 species
GAGCAGGGCGUAGCAAUACAGUCAGCGGCAGACGGGUGAGUAACGCGUGGGAACGUACCUUUUGGUUCGGAACAACACAGGGAAACUUGUGCUAAUACCGGAUAAGCCCUUACGGGGAAAGAUUUAUCGCCGAAAGAUCGGCCCGCGUCUGAUUAGCUAGUUGGUGAGGUAAUGGCUCACCAAGGCGACGAUCAGUAGCUGGUCUGAGAGGAUGAUCAGCCACAUUGGGACUGAGACACGGCCCAAACUCCUACGGGAGGCAGCAGUGGGGAAUAUUGGACAAUGGGGGCAACCCUGAUCCAGCCAUGCCGCGUGAGUGAUGAAGGCCCUAGGGUUGUAAAGCUCUUUUGUGCGGGAAGAUAAUGACGGUACCGCAAGAAUAAGCCCCGGCUAACUUCGUGCCAGCAGCCGCGGUAAUACGAAGGGGGCUAGCGUUGCUCGGGAAUCACUGGGCGUAAAGGGUGCGUAGGCGGGGUCUUUAAGUCAGGGGUGAAAUCCUGGAGCUCAACUCCAAGAACUGCCUUUGAUACUGAAGAUCUUGAGUUCGGGAGAGGUGAGUGGAACUGCGAGUGUAGAGGUGAAAUUCGUAGAUAUUCGCAAGAACACCAGUGGCGAAGGCGGCUCACUGGCCCGAUACUUGACGCUGAAGGCACGAAAAGCGUGGGGAGCAAACAGGGAUUAGAUACCCUGGAAGUCCACGCCCGUAAAACGAAGAAAUGCCAGCCCGUUUAGUGGGGUUUUAC